rnacentral:rRNA from 1 species
GAACGGGUGAGUAAUACAUCGGAACGUACCUUAUCGUGGGGGAUAACGCAGCGAAAGCUGUGCUAAUACCGCAUACGCCCUGAGUGGGAAAGCGGGGGAUCGAAAGACCUCGCGCGAUUAGAGCGGCCGAUGCCUGAUUAGCUUGUUGGUGGAGUAAAAGCCCACCAAGGCGACGAUCAGUAGCUGGUCUGAGAGGACGAUCAGCCACACUGGGACUGAGACACGGCCCAGACCCCUACGGGAGGCAGCAGUGGGGAAUUUUGGACAAUGGGGGAAACCCUGAUCCAGCAAUGCCGCGUGAGUGAAGAAGGCCUUCGAGUUGUAAAGCUCUUUUGUCAGGGAAGAAACACCGGCUCUAACACAGCCCGGGAAUGACGAUACCUGAAGAAUAAGCACCGGCUAACUACGUGCCAGCAGCCGCGGUAAUACGUAGGGUGCGAGCGUUAAUCGGAAUUACUGGGCGUAAAGCGUGCGCAGGCGGUUAUACAAGACAGGCGUGAAAUCCCCGGGCUUAACCUAGGAAUGGCGCCUGUGACUGUAUCGCUAGAGUGUGUCAGAGGGGGGUAGAAUUCCACGUGUAGCAGUGAAAUGCGUAGAUAUGUGGAGGAAUGCCAAUGGCGAAGGCAGCC